UUGCUAACCUCCUUUUUAGGUUUUAUGGUUUUGUUUUUAAAACAAAACCCAAAAACCCAGAGAGCAGUUGUUUCCAA
ensembl:miRNA gga-mir-1815 gga-mir-1815